CCGGCCGGCGACCGGCGCGACGGGUGAGUAACACGUAUGCAACCUGGCCGUGACAGAUGGAUAACCGGGAGAAAUCCCGCCUAAUACAACAUAAUGCCGGGAGGGGACAUCCCCUGCCGGUCAAAGGGGGCGACCCCGGUCAUGGAUGGGCAUGCGGCGCAUUAGGUAGUUGGUGGGGCAACGGCCCACCAAGCCGACGAUGCGUAGGGGUUCUGAGAGGAAGGUCCCCCACAUUGGAACUGAGACACGGUCCAAACUCCUACGGAAGGCAGCAG
rnacentral:rRNA from 1 species